ACAGAGGUCUCAAGCGUUGUUCGGAUUCAUUGGGCGUAAAGGGUGCGUAGGUGGCGGGGCAAGUCUGGUGUGAAAUCCCGGGGCUCAACCCCGGAACUGCACUGGAUACUGCCUUGCUAGAGCACUGGAGAGGGAACUGGAAUUUACGGUGUAGCAGUGAAAUGCGUAGAUAUCGUAAGGAAGACCAGUGGCGAAGGCGAGUUCCUGGACAGUUGCUGACACUGAGGCACGAAGGCUAGGGGAGCAAACGGGA
rnacentral:rRNA from 1 species